rnacentral:rRNA from 1 species
CAGGCCUAACACAUGCAAGUCGAGCGGUAACAGGAGAAAGCUUGCUUUCUUGCUGACGAGCGGCGGACGGGUGAGUAAUGUAUGGGGAUCUGCCCGAUAGAGGGGGAUAACUACUGGAAACGGUGGCUAAUACCGCAUAAUGUCUACGGACCAAAGCAGGGGCUCUUCGGACCUUGCACUAUCGGAUGAACCCAUAUGGGAUUAGCUAGUAGGUGGGGUAAAGGCUCACCUAGGCGACGAUCUCUAGCUGGUCUGAGAGGAUGAUCAGCCACACUGGGACUGAGACACGGCCAAACUCCUAAGGGAGGCAACANUUGGGAAUAAUUGCAACAAUGGGCCGCAAA